rnacentral:rRNA from 1 species
AACGUAGGAGGCGAGCGUUAUCCGGAUUUACUGGGCGUAAAGGGUGUGCAGGCGGGUCGUUAAGUCGUGCAUGAAAGCCACGGGCUCAACCUGUGGAGGAUGUGCGAGACUGGCGGCAUCGAGUGUGUGAGAGGGAUGUGGAAUUCCGGGUGUAGUGGUGAAAUGCGUAGAGAUCCGGAGGAACACCAGAGGCGAAGGCGGCAUCCUGGCACACAACUGACGCUGAGACACGACAGCAUGGGGAGCGGAACGGG